UAUGAGGUGGUCGAAUUUUAGUCGGUAGAUUGUAAAUCUAUGUAUAAGCAUAGCUUUCUCAUAA
rnacentral:tRNA from 1 species